UACGAAGGGGGCUAGCGUUGUUCGGAAUUACUGGGCGUAAAGCGCACGUAGGCGGAUCGAUCAGUCAGGGGUGAAAUCCCAGGGCUUAACCCUGGAACUGCCUUUGAUACUGUCGAUCUAGAGUAUGGAAGAGGUGAGUGGAAUUCCGAGUGUAGAGGUGAAAUUCGUAGAUAUUCGGAGGAACACCAGUGGCGAAGGCGGCUCACUGGCUCGAUACUGACGCUGAGGUGCGAAAGCGUGGGGAGCAAACAGG
rnacentral:rRNA from 1 species